AAUAGUUCUAAAAGCGCGUCACUCAUUUGCAGUACGUAUUUUGUAUAAUUCGCGUAAAACAUGCCUGAUGCUCAUUGUAAAUUUUCAGGAGACCAACAAAAAGCAUUGAUAAAAAAAUUGAAAAAAUCGAGUCCGCCAGUCCGCGAGUCCGCCAGUCCGAGUCAGCAUUUUAUCCACACCCAUAGGGUUAAGCUAAAUUAGCUAAUUCAGCUUUCAACAACUGGCCCCUGGUGAAAGAUUGAUUGUAUAGUCUUAAAUGUAUCUAUAUGUGUGAACUAUAAUUAUAUAUUUACUAAUAAAUACAUUUAAUAUUCUGAUAGUAUUUCUUCAUAUUAAAUUAUUAUGGCUUCAAGUGAACAUGACAGAGGUACAGUUUCCACAACUUUAUGUUGCUGAAGUAAGAGGAAAUAGCUUUAAUUUUAUGGUAGAAAUAAAUCUCACUUGGUGGUAGC